GGGUGCGAUCAUACCAGCGUUAAUGCACCGGAUCCCCUCAGAACUCCGCAGUUAAGCGCGCUUGGGCUAGAGUAGUACUGGGAUGGGUGACCUCCUGGGAGGUCCUGGUGUUGCACCCU
rnacentral:rRNA from 1 species